rnacentral:rRNA from 1 species
UACGUAGGGUGCGAGCGUUAAUCGGAAUUACUGGGCGUAAAGCGUGCGCAGGCGGUCUGUUAAGACAGAUGUGAAAUCCCCGGGCUUAACCUGGGAACUGCAUUUGUGACUGGCAGGCUAGAGUAUGGCAGAGGGGGGUAGAAUUCCACGUGUAGCAGUGAAAUGCGUAGAGAUGUGGAGGAACACCGAUGGCGAAGGCAGCCCCCUGGGCUAACACUGACGCUCAUGCACGAAAGCGUGGGGAGCAAACAGG